ACUCCUACGGGAGGCAGCAGUGGGGAAUAUUGCACAAUGGGCGCAAGCCUGAUGCAGCCAUGCCGCGUGUAUGAAGAAGGCCUUCGGGUUGUAAAGUACUUUCAGCAGUGAGGAAGGUGGAGUCGUUAAUAGCGGCCUCAUUUGACGUUAGCUGCAGAAGAAGCACCGGCUAACUCCGUGCCAGCAGCCGCGGUAAUACGGAGGGUGCGAGCGUUAAUCGGAAUUACUGGGCGUAAAGCGCAUGCAGGUGGUUUGUUAAGUCAGAUGUGAAAGCCCGGGGCUCAACCUCGGAAUUGCAUUUGAAACUGGCAGACUAGAGUCUUGUAGAGGGGGGUAGAAUUUCAGGUGUAGCGGUGAAAUGCGUAGAGAUCUGAAGGAAUACCAGUGGCGAAGGCGGCCCCCUGGACAAAGACUGACGCUCAGAUGCGAAAGCGUGGGGAGCAAACAGGAUUAGAUACCCUGGUAGGAUAGCG
rnacentral:rRNA from 1 species